rnacentral:rRNA from 1 species
GACGAACCUUGCUAACGUUAUUCGGAAUUACUGGGCUUAAAGGGUGCGUAGGCGGUGCAGAAAGUUGGGUGUGAAAUCCCUCGGCUCAACCGAGGAAUUGCGCCCAAAACUGUUGCACUAGAGGAAGACAGAGGUACGCGGAACUUAGGGUGGAGCGGUGAAAUGCGUAGAUAUCAUUUGGAACGCCAAUGGUGAAAACAGGUAGCUGGGGCUGUGCUGACACUGAGACACGAAAGCCAGGGGAGCAAACGGG